CGAGCUAUGUUCUAGGAACGGUAUUUUUUACAAUAAUACUUAGAUUUGUGCAAUUCAUUCUAGUUCGA
rnacentral:tRNA from 1 species